GACGCUGAAAAUAUUUGUCAUCUCUAGUUAGAAGCUUGGAGGUUCUAUUUGUGACUGCUAACAAGGUACUAAGAUUCAUCUGUGAACCAGGUUCACUCUUUGUUUGAAUUCUUGUUGCUACAUAGAUAAUCAGAAGUGAAACACAUAAGCCUAUUAUGGAAUAAAACUGCUUAAGCGAAAGCGUAUAAAAAAGAAUGCUAAUGAUGGUGCAAGGUACAAGAUCAUGAUAUUAAAGAUCUCCUACAGAAGAUCUUUUUCCUUGUAGAUCAGAGAGGCAACAAGGAAACCCUAUGCGAAAUAAAGCUUGGAAUAAAAGGCAAAAGUGAGAAAAGAUUUUGCAGCUUUUGUGAAGAUUCAUACACUGGUCUAGAAGUAAGAAAGCAUAAGCACAUUAUAUUAAUGACUAACAAAUGACAUCUAUUGACAAACUAAAA
rnacentral:lncRNA from 1 species